AGUGAACGCUGGCGGUAGGCCUAACACAGGCAAGGCGAACGGCAGCACAGGAAGAGCGGGCUCGGACGGGGGGCGAGGGGCGGACGGGGGAGGAAGACAGCGGAAGCGACGGUGGCGUGGGGGAUAACGGAGGGAAACGUACGCUAAUACCGCAGACGACCUACGGGUGAAAGCAGGGGAUCUUCGGACCUUGCGCGAUUGAAUGAGCCGAUGUCGGAUUAGCUAGUUGGCGGGGUAAAGGCCCACCAAGGCGACGAUCCGUAGCUGGUCUGAGAGGAUGAUCAGCCACACUGGAACUGAGACACGGUCCAGACUCCUACGGGAGGCAGCAGUGGGGAAUAUUGGACAAUGGGCGCAAGCCUGAUCCAGCCAUACCGCGUGGGUGAAGAAGGCCUUCGGGUUGUAAAGCCCUUUUGUUGGGAAAGAAAAGCAGCAGGUUAAUACCCCGCUGUUCUGACGGUACCCAAAGAAUAAGCACCGGCUAACUUCGUG
rnacentral:rRNA from 1 species